GAUGUUUUGUAUAACACAGGGUAUCUACAUGUGUCCUACAGCCUCACGUGACAGUAAGUGACAAGAGCCCAAAACAAACAGUGGAGCAACAAUCGAAAACACCAAUCUUGCUUUUAAACCUAAACAAAAUUGACUUAUGGUGUGGACUUGGACAGUAUACUUAAAAUACAGUACACACACACGCCAGCCAAAGCCAAACGCAGCUAGCAAAUCCAACUCCUGGGGUUGCACUCUACUCACCCUGCGAACUCGAUAUACUUGUAGAUGGAGCCUGCAAUUGCCAUGGCGACGAUGGCAUAGUACCAGGAGCAGAGGAACAUAAGAGUGAGACACAAGCUCAUGCCCAGGAAGGACAAAGCCCUGUACAGAUGGAGAGAAUGAUGCAGAGGCAGAGAAACACAUACAGGGGCAGUAGUGAGAGGAUACAGACAGUGGAGGUGGUGGUGAUGGCUGCAAUUGUUCCGAUGGGGAUAGAUUUCUGGGCAUCGCGCAAGUCUCCGGAGCGGUUGGAGCCAGCCAUGAUCCCUGAAUAGAGAGUCCAGAAGCAAAUGUUGUCAAGAUCCAAACUGCAUGAACCAACCUGCCAGGAUUCCACUGGUGACCCCCGGGAUUCCUUGGGCCCUAGUCACAUUGUUGGCGGCGAAGUACUUGUCGCAGGUUGCAU